rnacentral:lncRNA from 1 species
GUGGGUAUCCGGGAUGUGGUAUCGAGACCGAAUCCUCUUUAGUUCAGCCUCUGUGACAAUCGAGGGAGUAUUGGCGUGCGAGAAUCGCUCAGUAUUCCUGUAGUAUUUGGAGGGGGUUUUGGGAUUUAUUGGGAGAGGGUUCUUAUCAGAUUUCGACCCCUUUGGGUUCAGUGUCGAGGCUCCUUCAUGAGCAGCAGUGGUAGGAUUUGGUGGAACGGCUGUGAGUGGGGUUACCAAUAUAGGAGAGCCUUGUGCAGAAUCCUGGGAAGCCAUUGUUGAUUAGUUGCAGAAGAAAGGAGAAAGUUCAGAAAGUCAGAGAGUUCAG